rnacentral:tRNA from 1 species
CGGAGCAUGGCUCAGCUUGGUAGAGCGCUGCGUUCGGGACGCAGAGGUCGUGGGUUCGAAUCCCGCUGCUCCGA